GAACGCUGGCGGCAGGCCUAACACAUGCAAGUCGAGCGGAUGAAGGGAGCUUGCUCCUGGAUUCAGCGGCGGACGGGUGUGUAAUGCCUAGGAAUCUGCCUGGUAGUGGGGGAUAACGUCCGGAAACGGGCGCUAAUACCGCAUACGUCCUGAGGGAGAAAGUGGGGGAUCUUCGGACCUCACGCUAUCAGAUGAGCCUAGGUCGGAUUAGCUAGUUGGUGGGGUAAAGGCCUACCAAGGCGACGAUCCGUAACUGGUCUGAGAGGAUGAUCAGUCACACUGGAACUGAGACACGGUCCAGACUCCUACGGGAGGCAGCAGUGGGGAAUAUUGGACAAUGGGCGAAAGCCUGAUCCAGCCAUGCCGCGUGUGUGAAGAAGGUCUUCGGAUUGUAAAGCACUUUAAGUUGGGAGGAAGGGCGGUAAGUUAAUACCUUGCUGUUUUGACGUUACCAACAGAAUAAGCACCGGCUAACUUCGUG
rnacentral:rRNA from 1 species